UACGUAGGUGGCAAGCGAUACUCGGAAUCACUAGGCGUAAAGCGCAGGUAGGCGGUUGGAUAAGUUUUUUGUGAAAGCUCCCGGCUUAACUGGGAGAGGCCAAGAAAUACUGUCUGACUAGAGUGUGGUAGGGGAAAUUGGAAUUCCUGGUGUAGCGGUGAAAUGCGUAGAUAUCAGGAGGAAUACCUAUGGCGAAAGCAAGUUUCUGGGCCAUCACUGACGCUGAGGCGCGAAAGCUAGGGGAGCGAAUGGG
rnacentral:rRNA from 1 species